CCUACGGGUGGCUGCAGUGAGGAAUAUUGGUCAAUGGGCGCGAGCCUGAACCAGCCAAGUAGCGUGAAGGAUGACUGCCCUACGGGUUGUAAACUUCUUUUAUAAAGGAAUAAAGUGAGGCACGUGUGCCUUUUUGUAUGUAAUUUAUGAAUAAGGAUCGGCUAACUCCGUGCCAGCAGCCGCGGUAAUACGGAGGAUACGAGCGUUAUCCGGAUGUCUUGGGUUUAAAGGGAGCGUAGAUGGGUUGUUAAGUCAGUUGUGAAAGUUUGCGGCUCAACCGUAAAAUUGCAGUUGAAACUGGCAGUCUUGAGUACAGUAGAGGUGGGCGGAAUUAGUGGUGUAGCGGUGAAAUGCUUAGAUAUCACGAAGAACUCCGAUUGCGAAGGCAGCUCACUGGACUGCAACUGACACUGAGGCUCGAAAGUGUGGGUAUCAAACAGGAUUAGAUACCCUUGUAGUC
rnacentral:rRNA from 1 species